rnacentral:rRNA from 1 species
UACGUAGGGCGCAAGCGUUGUCCGGAAUUAUUGGGCGUAAAGAGCUCGUAGGCGGCCUGUUGCGUCCGCUGUGAAAGCCCGGGGCUCAACCCCGGGUCGGCCGUGCGAACUGUCGAGCUGGAGCACUGUAGAGGCAGGUGGAAUUCCGGGUGUAGCGGCGGAAUGCGUAGAGAUCCGGAAGAACACCGGUGGCGAAGGCGGCCUGCUGGGCAGUGGCUGACGCUGAGGCGCGACAGCGUGGGGAGCAAACAGG